rnacentral:lncRNA from 1 species
UUUAUUCACCCUGAUUCUUUCCCAGACAGUAGUCCCACAAGGUAAACAAAGCCACUAAAGAGCCCAUCACCGAUAAGAUCACUCUGUAAUCAGAAGAAUAAGCCGAAAGCUGAUUAAAAUAUCUGCGCACUUACAUCAUAAAAAUGGUGAGUCCGUCCCAUGGUACACUUUCACUUGUUUGGCAACUGGAUUCGCUGAUACUCAUUACCGAGCUGGGAAUACUGACGUUAAGCAGUUGUUUCGUCACCAUACCCAUAAACGUGUUCAUAUAAGUUGCCGAGCAGGAUGCCGGUAGGCAAGUGGCAGUUUUAAAAUGGCCGAUGAUCGAACUCUGGACUCCCAGCGCCUGGGCAAGAGACACUGAAAGAAAACAGUACUUUCCCUGGAUAGUUCUGCCCAGGCUGACUCCAUGAUUGAUGUUGAGGCACUCGUCGAAGUUUCCCAGGUCGUACAUGUUUCCCGUUAGUAGACCAGAUGGUAUUGAACCCCAGGAAUCGAACACUGGCGUAAUACAGAUAAUACGGCCAUUAAAUGAGAACUUGGUUUCGGUUCAAAGUUCACUUACUUUUCAGUGCCCAGUACUGGCCACUUUGAAGUCCAGUCGUAAGCGCAGUCAAAUCGCUUAGACACAGCAUAUCCUCCUGACUUGGCACUCGGGUUUCCAGGGUGCUCAACUCCUCCACAUCAAAAUCCUUUACUUGACCAACAAAAUCAAGGGCAAGUCCUUUGAGUUGGCUGACGCGUUGCAAAUCUGACAGAACAUCCUCGUCAUUCAAGCGUCCGGCACUGAUGAGGCCAAGACCGCAGAGGAAAACUACUCCGACUAUGUUAACCAUGCUGGCUUAACUCUUACUAAUGAUUUCUCACCGAACUUGGAACCCCUUUUAUAUACGAAUUAAAAUGAGAUAAGCACCGUCUACGAACACCAUCAGUGACAUUAGUCAUUUCUUAACAAGUUCAAUGGAAAACGCCUGAUAAGCUAAUCUUUGCAGAUGGAAUAUGAUAAUUUGGAAAUAGGUUGCCACAGCGGAGAGGAGAGAAAAGUAUUGGCCAUCCCGCCGUAUCCUUGCAUACAGGCAAAGACCACCCAACCAACUGCCAUGGGCCAGCCCACACGGGUAAGGGUGUAAUAAGAUGACACUUCGAGGGUGGUCAUUAGCCAAGGCUUUCCCGACUCAAGUUUCGGAUAGAGUGCGAAGAUCGAGGUAAAGAGCAUAGCCAGGCAAAGAAUCCAUCCCGACCAGACCGCUAUCCAGUUCAUUUUAAACUUUCUUCCCUUAUUCAAGAACACAAAGUAGCCAUACAAGAAUCCAAUGAGCCACGGAGCAGCGUGAGUAUGGGUGUAGAAAUACGUUUUCUUUUGCAAGGAAAAGUCAAGACUGUGAAAUAUAAACAAGUUUUUCACUUUUCGGACAUGACUAUAUUUUAUUAUCUUACCUCUUUAUAGAAUAGUGGUUGACCAUCAUGGUGGCAAACAGGCAUCCAGAUAGCAAAACUAUUAGAACGCCGAUAGCAGCAGCAGCCUUCUUGCCCCAUUUAUAAAGAGCAAAUAGCAGGAUAGGAGAUAUGAGGAAAAGCUGCAUGUCCACCGCCAAAUACCAGAAAUCUAAAUCGAUUAAUGUUUGGCGCAGAAAACACAUUAUCAUACUGAUGAAUCCAAACCACCCAGAAAAGGGACAUGCACCGAAUUCCGUGAAGGCAUUCAAUUACAUUCGGGUUCGAUUGAUUUACCACAAUGCGGAAAAGUGCACAAGAGUUGGCCCUGGCUGAAAACAACUUGACAGCCGUGUGAAGUUGAUCUGUGAGGUAAGGAUACAUUAAUAUAAUUUUUAAUAUUUAGGUUGUGGUAUUAUAAACAUUUACCCUGACUCUUGACCAAAAAGUAAUCGUACAACGUAGCUAUAGCCACGAUUACGCCCAUCAGUGACAGUAUGACUCUGUAAUCAGAAAUGAUUAGAAGGCACAUCAAUUAAAAUUUCAACAUUCUUACAUUGUUAAAAUCGUUAGUCCACUCCAGGGCUCGCUUUCAGCUGUUUGGCAAGAAUCAUCGCUGAUACUCAUGGCUGUACUGGGUAUACUCACAUUCAGUAUCCUUUUUAAAAUCGUAUCCACAAACUUGUUCAUGUGAGUGGCCGAACAGGAAGCCGGAAAGCAUGUAGCCGUCUUAAUUUUCAAUAUUCCGGCUAAUGAACUCUCAACUCCCAAUAUUUUCGCGGGUGAAACGUCUAAAAAGCAGUAUUUUCCACGUAUGCUGUCCUUCUUGAUAUUGAUGCACUCGUCGAAAUUUCCCAAGUCAUACACGUUACCGGUGAAAAUACCAGAUGGUAUGCCUCCCCAUGCGUCAAUCACUGAAUGUAAAUCACUAAUGAUUUUCUUUCCAAUCUCGCAAUUUGAACUGUUAACUUACUUUUGAAUGCCCAAUAUUGUCCACCUUGAAGAGCCGAGACAAGCUUAGUUAAGUCAUUUAAGCACAGAAGAUCCGCCUGUGUGGGCAAUCGCGAGUCAAACAGGCUCAAAUCAUUUAGCGUUACAUUUUGAAAGUAAUCGGCAAACUCAAUACCCAACGGUUUGAGCUUCCUCAGGCGCUGGUAUUCUUCCAGGACACUUCUGUCCUCAGACUGUAUGGCACCGAUGAGCACCAGCCCACUAAGCAAAAUAAAACUGAGAAUUUUAACCAUGCUAACUGAAUCGCUAUUAAUGGUCACAGUCCAAAUCGUGAGGGUUUAUAUACAAGCGAUAAGUAUUGAAUACGAUAAGGGCAAGGUUGAUUUUUUAAGUGGAGACUCGAAUAUUACUACCCUGUUAACUUUGAAAACACGAACUUCAGUGUUUAGUUCACAUGGUCCUAAUCUUAUUGUUAAGUUAUGUUCAUAGACACAUUAUGUGUCUUCCUGAUUAUACUGCCACUGAUUUAACUUAGAAUGGUUCUAGGUUUUUAAAGUUUGGAUGCAUCUUGCAACUGCUGGAUAUAACUAUUGUCGCUAGGUGAAGCAUGGAAAACGAUUAAUUCCGUUGAAGACACUAUCAGCCGUAUUAUAUUUAGAAUUCGUUCAAAAAAGA